UACAGAGGGUGCAAGCGUUAAUCGGAAUUACUGGGCGUAAAGCGUGCGUAGACGGUUACAUAAGUCGGGUGUGAAAGCCCCGGGCUCAACCUGGGAAUUGCAUUCGAGACUGCGUAGCUAGGGUGCGGAAGAGGGAAGCGGAAUUUCCGGUGUAGCGGUGAAAUGACGUAGAUAUCGGAAGGAACACCAGUGGCGAAAGCGGCUUCCUGGUCCAGCACCGACGUCAGGCACGGAAAGCGUGGGGAGCAAACAGGAUUAGAU
rnacentral:rRNA from 1 species